GGAUGUGAAGGCGAUCUGGCUGCGACAUCUGUUACCCCAUUGAUCACCAGGGUUGAUUCGGCUGAUCUGGCUGGCUAGGCGAGUGUCCCCUUCCUCCCUCAUCACUCCAUGUGCGGCCCUCCCCAAGCUGCGUGCUUGGUCAAAGAGGACGACCAUACCAAUAAAGGAGGAACGUUCUUUGGUCAAGGGUUCACGAGUAGCUGUGCUCCCCUGCUAGAACUUCCAAACAAGCUUUCAAGAAUUAGAAUGUAGAGCUCAAGCAGGAGUGCCUAACAAGCACAAAGUCAUGCAUUCAACUCCAGUACAACCAUCAGAGUAGAGGAGUU
rnacentral:snRNA from 1 species